rfam:Felis catus isolate Cinnamon breed Abyssinian chromosome D1, whole genome shotgun sequence.
GCCUGGGUGGCUCAGUUGGUUGAGCGUCUAACUUUGGCUCAGGUCAUGAUCUCAGUGUGUGAGUUCAAGCCCCACGUCAGGCU